GGUACGGUGGCUUAGUGGUUAGCGUGCUUGCCUCGCACCUCCAGGAUUGGGGGCUUGAAUCCCACCUCUGCCC